CGGCGGACGGGUGAGUAACGCGUGGGUAACCUGCCUUACACAGGGGGAUAACAGUUAGAAAUGACUGCUAAUACCGCAUAAGACCCCGGUACCGCAUGGUACAGAGGUAAAAACUGAGGUGGUGUAAGAUGGACCCGCGUCUGAUUAGGUAGUUGGUGAGGUAACGGCUCACCAAGCCGACGAUCAGUAGCCGGCCUGAGAGGGUGGACGGCCACAUUGGGACUGAGACACGGCCCAGACUCCUACGGGAGGCAGCAG
rnacentral:rRNA from 1 species